UGGGGAAUAUUGGACAAUGGGCGCAAGCCUGAUCCAGCCAUGUCGCGUGAGUGAUGAAGGCCCUAGGGUUGUAAAGCUCUUUCACCGGUGAAGAUAAUGACGGUAACCGGAGAAGAAGCCCUGGCUAACUUCGUGCCAGCAGCCGCGGUAAUACGAAGGGGGCUAGCGUUGUUCGGAUUUACUGGGCGUAAAGCGCACGUAGGCGGACUUUUAAGUCAGGGGUGAAAUCCCGGGGCUCAACCCCGGAACUGCCUUUGAUACUGGAAGUCUUGAGUAUGGUAGAGGUGAGUGGAAUUCCGAGUGUAGAGGUGAAAUUCGUAGAUAUUCGGAGGAACACCAGUGGCGAAGGCGGCUCACUGGACCAUUACUGACGCUGAGGUGCGAAAGCGUGGGGAGCAAACAGG
rnacentral:rRNA from 1 species